rnacentral:rRNA from 1 species
UUUUGAACCGCAUGGUUCAAAAGUGAAAGACGGUCUUGCUGUCACUUAUAGAUGGAUCCGCGCUGCAUUAGCUAGUUGGUAAGGUAACGGCUUACCAAGGCAACGAUGCAUAGCCGACCUGAGAGGGUGAUCGGCCACACUGGAACUGAGACACGGUCCAGACUCCUACGGGAGGCAGCAGUAGGGAAUCUUCCGCAAUGGGCGAAAGCCUGACGGAGCAACGCCGCGUGAGUGAUGAAGGUCUUCGGAUCGUAAAACUCUGUUAUUAGGGAAGAACAUAUGUGUAAGUAACUGUGCACAUCUUGACGGUACCUAAUCAGAAAGCCACGGCUAACUACGUGCCAGCAGCCGCGGUAAUACGUAGGUGGCAAGCGUUAUCCGGAAUUAUUGGGCGUAAAGCGCGCGUAGGCGGUUUUUUAAGUCUGAUGUGAAAGCCCACGGCUCAACCGUGGAGGGUCAUUGGAAACUGGAAAACUUGAGUGCAGAAGAGGAAAGUGGAAUUCCAUGUGUAGCGGUGAAAUGCGCAGAGAUAUGGAGGAACACCAGUGGCGAAGGCGACUUUCUGGUCUGUAA